ACUCAUACCUUGCAGGGGAAAUACCAUGUCAUAAAAGUGGCUUUCCCAGGGGGAGGUUUAUCCAUUGCACUUUAGGUAUUCUGCUGAUCCCUGUGAUUUCCCCAAAUAUGGGAAACUCAACUGCAUAAUUUGUGUUAAUGGGAGAUUGUACUUGUGAUUUCUCUGG
rnacentral:snRNA from 1 species